rnacentral:rRNA from 1 species
AUCAGCUUGCUGAUUCGCUGACGAGUGGCGGACGGGUGAGUAAUGUCUGGGAAACUGCCUGAUGGAGGGGGAUAACUACUGGAAACGGUAGCUAAUACCGCAUAACGUCGCAAGACCAAAGAGGGGGACCUUCGGGCCUCUUGCCAUCGGAUGUGCCCAGAUGGGAUUAGCUAGUAGGUGGGGUAACGGCUCACCUAGGCGACGAUCCCUAGCUGGUCUGAGAGGAUGACCAGCCACACUGGAACUGAGACACGGUCCAGACUCCUACGGGAGGCAGCAGUGGGGAAUAUUGCACAAUGGGCGCAAGCCUGAUGCAGCCAUGCCGCGUGUAUGAAGAAGGCCUUCGGGUUGUAAAGUACUUUCAGCGGGGAGGAAGGGAGUAAAGUUAAUACCUUUGCUCAUUGACGUUACCCGCAGAAGAAGCACCGGCUAACUCCGUGCCAGCAGCCGCGGUAAUACGGAGGGUGCAGGCGUUAAUCGGAAUUACUGGGCGUAAAGCGCACGCAGGCGGUUUGUUAAGUCAGAUGUGAAAUCCCCGGGCUCAACCUGGGAACUGCAUCUGAUACUGGCAAGCUUGAGUCUCGUAGAGGGGGGUAGAAUUCCAGGUGUAGCGGUGAAUUGCGUA